CUUUGCCAAAAUCUCUCUCUCUCUCUCUCUCAAAUUCUUUGCAUCUGGAUUAUCUGUUCGUUCGUGAAGCUCAGAAAUCGAUAGCUUCCUCGUCCUUGAGACAUUCGUCGACGACAACGGCAGCGGUGAACAAUGGUGAAGCUGGAAGUUCCGAGAGGCAACAACUCCAUCUCGCUCGGUAAACGACGUCGUCUGUUGGUUCCAAGCCGGCGUCUUGCUCGACUUCAUGGCUGAAAGAGGAGGAGGUGUCGUUGUUGAGCGUGGAGGCUUCUACAGCGGAUUCGGAGACCGUUGACGUGGAGGCGACCAUGGUCGCGGCCUGAGGAUCAUGAAGAUCAUGCCAGUUCAGAAGCAGACCCCUGCCGAUUAGAGGACUCGCUUCUUCUGCGAUGUGUGCCAAAAGGAUGUCCUAGUGGCGCUCAUAAGCUUUCACAAUUGUAGCCUUGAUGCCAAAAUCAAGACCAACAUAGGGGACGAUUACAAGAUUAAAGUUUGGAACUACAAGAUGCAUAGAUGUCUUUUUACUCUUCUCGGGCAUCUAGAUUAUAUUCGUCCCGUGCAAUCUCACUUUUUUUAUGCUUGAAGCUUUGUUGAAAGAUUUGUACAAUUAUGUAAGUUUUAUAA